CCAUGGAUGAUGAAAAGCUCCAGUCCUAACACAACACGCUGACAGCGCACGAGCGCAGCGGAGCUGGAUCUGCAGGCGCAAAUAAAACAACCUCGCUGGACUAUUUACCCCGGGUUCUUUACUGGUUUUCUCACCCCUCUUUUAUAGUUUGUUAGGAUUUAGAGAGCACUUGUGUAGCUUAUAUUUUGUGCUGGAAAGGUGUGUGUGUGUGUGUGUGUGUGAGUGUGAGUGUGAGGAGGAAACGCACAGCGCAGACGCUUCACCUGGCUGGAGAGCUUACAGCAGAGGAGUGGAAGGGAAAGGGUUCUGUGCUGUCAGUGGGAUGGUAGAAGGGUGGAGUGGAGUCCAGGCUGAAGGAGCAUGGUGAAACACCAACCCCUGCAGGUCUAUGAGAGACAGCUGUGCUUGUCUUGUCUAACGGGGAUCUACGGUUGCCGCUGGAAACGUUACCAGCGCUCACAUGAUGACACCACAAAGUGGGAGUGUAUGUGGACCCUCAUCCUCUUCGGGACGUUCACUCUGCUGCUGUUCUGGUUUUAUUUCUGGUGGGAAGCAAGCAAUGACUACAGCGAGUUUAACUGGUAUUUAUAUAACCGGUCAGGCGAGUGGAGUGAUGGAACUGUUCCCAUACUGGCUACAACGGCUGCAGGCUUCACUUAUAUUGCAUUUUUAAUGAUUUUAGCACUAUGUCACAUCUCAGUUGGACAGCAGCUGAACCUGCACUGGAUCCAUAAGAUCGGAGUGACUGCAGCUUUACUGACCACCGUGAUCGGCAUGAUAUCCGUCAGUCAGAUCUGGAGCAAGGAAUGGGAUAUCUUCUCGAUCUCUCUACAGGCCACAGGACCCUUCCUGCACAUCGGUGCUCUUGCUGCAGUUACAGCGUUGGCCUGGCUGGUGGCUGGACAAGUAGCUCGAUCUGAGAAGACCAAGUUUCAGGUAAUAGUUCUGCUCAUCUACCUGGUGGUGCUUCUGAGCCUCUACCUGACCCCGCUGUCCAUCACAUCGCCCUGCAUCAUGGAGCCGCACGACCUUAAAGCGCGGCCUGCUGUAAUCGGCCAGCGCGGAGCUCCCAUGCUGGCUCCGGAGAACACGCUGCUUUCUUUCCGGAGAGCUCUGCAGAAGAACGUCAGUGGGUUGGAGGCAGAGGUGGCCAUCAGUCUAGAUGGAGUGCCGUUCCUGAUGAGAGAUCGUACCCUGAGGAGAACCACAGAUGUGAGCAAAGUCUUUCCUGAGAGACAGAAUGACGACGCCUCGUUCUUCAACUGGACUGAACUGAGCAUGCUCAGUGCUGGCCAGUGGUUUCUAAAGGAUGACCCGUACUGGACGUUGAAGUACAUGUCUGCGCAAGAGCGCUGGGCAAUGGAAAAUGAGUCAGUGUGCAGUCUGGAACAGAUGCUACACCUGGCAUCCGUCUACAACUGCUCAGCCCUGUUUACCCUCCGCAGACCUCCUCCAGGACACCCACACCACCUGAACUGGGUCAACCUCACCCUGACCACCGUCCUGCACUCGGGCAUCCCUCAGCACCUGGUGGUGUGGAGUGUGGACUGGGACAGAGAGCUGGUACAGCAGCAGGCUCCAGGCUUCCAGCAGAUCUCCACUAAGAUACAGACGCUGGAGAAUCUCCACGAGAAAGGCAUCAGCAGAUUAUUGCUGCGCUACGACCACGUCAGUGACGAGGAUAUACGGACGUACACAGCUGGUAAUGUGAGUGUGACUCUGUACACUGUGAAUGAGCCGUGGCUGUACUCUGUACUCUGGUGCAGCGGCGUGCACUCCGUCUCCUCCGAAGCACCGCAGAUCCUCAAGAAGGUUUUAUCACCUCUCUGGAUAAUGAGUCCAGACGAGUACUGCGUGAUUUGGGUCGCCACAGAUCUCGUCUCCUUCGCCCUGGUCCUGGGGAUUUUUGUAUUUCAGAAGUGGAGGAUGAGUGGCAUGCGUAGCUACAACCCGGAGCAGAUCAUGCUGAGCGCCACUGUCAGGAGGUCGAGCCGAGACGUCAACAUCAUGAAGGAGAAGCUCAUCUUCUCUGGUCAGCAACAGUAGCCGUUUAACCCCAGCUGUAACCCUCCAUCAUCUCAUCUCCCAUCCUGCACCAUCCCUAACCAUCCCGCUACAUCCCGCUACAUCCCCCUCCAUCCUGCUCCUACCUGAACCAUCCUGAAUCAUCUUUCAUCCUCCUGCUCCAUCCUGCAUCAUCUUUCAUCACCCCCCUCCACCCUGCUCCAUCCGGCUCCUACCAGAACCAUCCUGCUCCAUCCUCCUCCAUCCUGAACCAUCCCUAACCCCCCUUCAUGACCAUCCCGCUCCAUCCUGAACCACCCUGAACCAUCCUGCAUCAUCCACCCUCUCGCUGCCUCUCACUGCAUCCUGCCAUCUCUCCAUCCACCGCUCCAUCCUUCACCUCCAGUCCUAGCUCAUGAAUGGCUGUGGUUGUCAUGACCAGUGCUCUCUUCAUGAGGUCAGCGAUGGGGUCAGCUAUGAGGAAAACGGGUUCGACUGCUACACCAAUCAGGGCGUUCACUGACUCGGCGCUCCACACUGACCGGGUGAAGACGUCGGAUUUCCGACUCGCCCGUACCGCUUUAUUUCUUUUCCUCGUCGUCGCUUUGUCACAAAAUGUUUCAUUCUUUUCCCCAUUUUCAGUUUCCCUGUGAGCUUUGGAACGUCACUGUAUUGCUAAAGGAACAUCAGUGUAUAUUCUGUAUAGUUUCUUCUUCUUCUUCUGUUUUGUACUGUAAAUGACGUGUGAAGCAUUUGACGUGAGCGGUCUGUGGCCUGUCGAGUGCUCGUGACGACCGGAACGUCCACCGUCUUGUUUCGAUUGUUCAUUUUGGAGAUGAACGACCGGAACCAGGGUGUGAGGGAUAUUCCUAAACGAACCUGCGCAUGCGUGUGUGGUCUGUGACGUAUGUUCUGAUGUACUCUGGGACACUCUCUUGCCUCCUCCAAGGGCCGAAGCGACUUCCUGUGUGUUUACAGCGUGCCUGUAUUUUCAUACACACCCAUUUAACAUUUCCAACUAGGAUGAUUUUUAUUUAUAUUUGUGUGUUUUAUGCCUUUCGGUCGUUUAAAUAAAGGUGUGAAGGGUUUUAAAUGCACGCAGAGGAGUAAACAGGUUCCAGUCGAUGUACUUGAGCUUAUAAAGGUUUGUGGUUGGACUGUAAAAGCAGGAAGAGCGAGUACAAGCUUUUAAAGGAAAAGUCCACUCCGAAUGCCUUGCACAUUAACCCCAUCUUUAUCUCAAACUGCACUAGCGUCGGAGCGACACACGAGCGCUAACUUCUCACGGGAACGACCGGCCGACGAGUCGCACCGGAUCAUUCGGGAUAAACGUAUCGAACGCGUUUCAGGGUGGAGUUCUUCUUUACAGUCCGACACCGAAAGAGCCGAAGCCGAACACGUCUCGGUGCCGUGGGCGGUACUACUGGAACAGACAUCUGGCCUGGAAUCAAAACCGAGUGUUUAUAUUUAUAUAUUGUACAGUGAUUGUGUCACAGCAUCAUCAUCAUCAUCAUCAUCCUCGUCAUCAUCGACUUGUCUCCUUCCUCAUCGGCUCACUGUAUUUUAUUCGCGAUGAACAGUUUAUAAGUUGUGGCACUGGAAGACAUGUUAGAUGAAGCGUUUUAAUAAAAAGUUCACGUUCACACGA